rnacentral:rRNA from 1 species
UACGUAGGGUGCAGGCGUUAAUCGGAAUUACUGGGCGUAAAGCGUGCGCAGGCGGUUCGUUGUGUCGGCGGUGAAAGCCCCGGGCUUAACCUGGGAAUGGCCGUUGAAACUGGCGAACUGGAGUGUGGCAGAGGGGGGUGGAAUUCCGCGUGUAGCAGUGAAAUGCGUAGAGAUGCGGAGGAACACCGAUGGCGAAGGCAGCCCCCUGGGCUGACACUGACGCUCAGGCACGAAAGCGUGGGGAGCAAACAGG